UUUAUGUUUUUGUUUUUAUUGUUUUACACAUGUGAACAUAACCUUUAAAAUCAAUAUUUUGAAAAAUAUUACUAAGUAGUCAACAUGUGAUUACACUGCAAUAAUUUUUACGAAUGUUGAAAUAAUAAUUAAUUUAUAUGAAAAUAAUAAUGCAUAUCCACACUUAUUUUAACCUACCUACUCUAUUAUAUAGUAAAGAUCUCAAUGUUAAAUUCCGCGGUCAAAAUAAUACAUUGCACCCGUUUUUUCUUUAUUCAGAGUAGGCUAGGUUUUUUACUUCCAACUAAUGAACAAGAGUAUGUAGCUACAGAACUUCUUACAGAGGGUUAGGUACAUAAGUACUUAUUCAACUACUUAUCAUGAAACAAAUAUAAAUUGGUUAGGCUAUCCGUUGCUAUUAUUCAUUCACUCAAAUUGACAAGAAGAUUGUCAAUUUUCUAGUAAAAUUGGCUAGGUGAUUUCAAAAUAAACUAUAUUUCAAAAUGUUGACAAAGGAGAGUUGUCUGUUGAGGUUGAAGAAGAUAUUAAACGUAGAUGCAAUAAUAUGUUUCUAUUGUGGAUCAAACAUUAUUUGUAUUAUAACACAUACUCAAUUCAAUAUAAUGCCAUAUUAAUGGAAAAGACACUGUCCAGCUUAAACAUUAUUAGAAAAACCAAACAAUAAGAAUGAUAACAGCUGUUGUUACAGAGCAUAGAACAAAAAUAUACUAGAGUACCAACUUGAUGGAUUAGAAUAUUAAGUUACAUUCCAACACCCUUACUUAAUCCAGCAAGGGGAUAAAAUACAAUAGAAAUAUAUUAUGGGUAGGUGGUUAUCACUCACUUCCUCAUACCUACACCUUGGACACAUAGAUUGUGUUUUGGCCCACUAAGAGGUUUGGUUAACAUAUCAGCUUCCAUUUCAUUGCUUGACAAAUAGACAAUUUCAAUUAAAUUUUGUUUUACCCAGUGUCUAAUUUGGUGAUAUUUGACAUCAAUAUGCUUGCUACGAUUAUUCUGACUUUCAUUAUAGCAAAGUUUAUUUGCACUUUGAUUGUCAUUGAAAAUAGUUAAGGCAAAUUACAUGUGUACAACUCUGAUAAGAGGCCCUGCAAAUAAAUUCCUUCUUUACCACAUUCACUGAUUGCCACAUAUUCUGCAAAAGUUGAACUAUCAGCAAGACUUUUUGUGCGCUGCUUUCUGGAACACCAACUUACAGCAGCACCACAAAACUUGUAAACAUAACCAGUGUGUGAUGUUCUAUCUAUUGUACAAUUGCCAAAAUCUGCAUCAGCAUACCCUUGCAACAAGCAUUCACCUUUAUGGUUUACUAUACCUAAAUUUGAUGUGCCUUUCAAAUAACGUAUGACUCUUUUCACAGCAAUGAGAUGACUUUCAUCAUUACAAGUGUUAAAUUGACUCAAAUAGCUCACAGCAUGACAUAUAUCUACACGUGUAUACACUGACAAAUACAUCAGAGCACCAAUCAAUCUUUGGUAAUCAUUUUCUUGGGCCCCUGUUGAUUGAAUCAAUUUUUGAGAAACACACAAAGGCGUUACAACAGAUUUGCACUCAUUCAUACCAAAUUUGUUAAUUAUGUCAUUUACAUAAACUUCUUGAUUGUUUGAUUCUCCCUAUCCCUAGUUACUCUCAUACCUAAGCAUUCUUUAAUAGGACCAAGAUCUCUCAUUUUGAAAUUUUUAGCAAUGGCAGACUUGAGUUUCUGAGUUUUAUCAACUGAGUUUGAAAAACAAUACAAAUCAUCAACAUACAAACCAAUAACAACAAGAGUAUUUUGAGUUUUCAUGAUAUAAAUACAAGAAUCAUAUUUACAUUGACAAAAGUUUUGUGAUACAAAGAAAGAGUGGAUUUUAUCAUUCCAACAGCGAGCUGCUUGUUUUAACCCAUAAAUUGCCUUUUUGAGUCUACAAACUUUAUUUUCCUCACCUUCAUGAAUAAACCCUUUUCGUUGUUUCAUGAAUAUUUGUUCAUUCAAAUCACCAUUAAGGAAAGCAGUUGUAAUGUCUACAUGAUUAAUUUCCAGGUAUAGUUCUGCAGCUAAACCAAAAAGAACUCUCAAAGAAGAUAAUUUGACAACUGGAGCAAAAGUAUGGUCAUAAUCUUGACCUGGUUUUUGACUGAAACCCUUAGCAACUAGCCUUGCUUUAUACCUAGUUGAACCAUCAAUUCCUCUCUUUAGCUUGUACACCCAUUUACUUAUACAAUAUUACAGUUUGAGGGUCUGUCAACUAAUUCCAAAGUAUUAUUAUCACUCAAAGCUUCAAACUCUUCCUGCAUAGCAUUAUUCCAAUGAAUGCAAUCAGACCUAUCAUGAAUUUCAUCAAAAGUACAGGGAUCAUCAGGACUUACAGCUAGAAAAGCAUACUCAAAAUCUUCAGAGCGAUUGGGUUUUCUAAUGCGAGUUGGAUACCUAUUUGUUACAGCUGUUGGAGAAUCAUCGUUGUUGAAGAAUUGAUUUUGAACAUCAGUAACAGUUGCAAUAGGAUUUACAUUUGGAAAACAUUGUUUGUCAUUCACUUUCAACGUAUCAACCAUACCUGGGACAAUACUAGAAUUAAUAUUAGAUUCAAUAAAUUAAACAUUUCUUGCAAUUACAAUAUUUUAGGAUCAUCAAGUGUUAUCAGACGAUAACCUUUAGUAUCAUUACAAUAACCAACAAAAAUCAGUGACUUGGAUUUUUUGUCUAGUUUACAACGCUUUUAUUUUUGUAUGUAAACCUGAGCAUUACAACCAAAACACGCAAGUGAGAAAUAUUGAUUUUCUCAUCACGCCAAGCUCCUUCAGGUACUGUAUCACACACAGCAGCAGUUGGAGAAACAUUUUUCAAAUAAAUAGCAGUAUUCAUAGCUUCUGCCCAAAAACGCUUAUCCAAUUUAGAUUCAAUAAGCAUACAUCUGACUUUCUCAACUGGAGUACGGUUAGUACGCUCUGCCACUCCAUUUUGCUGUAGUGUGUAAGGUACAGUAGUCUGAUGACGAAUACCUUGAGCUUUAAGGUAAUUUUCAAAAUCAUUACUGGUAAAUUCACCUCCAUUAUCGGUACUAAGACAUUUCAGUUUACAACCAGUCUCAUUUUCAACCAUAGGCUUAAACUCUAAAAACUUUGAAAAACAUCACUCUUGGCCUUAAUCAUGUAACCAAAAAGUUUUCUAGUAAAAUCAUCUACAAAAAUCAAACAAUAUCUGGUUCCUCCCCAAGAUGCACAUCCAUUGGUCCACAAACAUCAGAGUGAACCAACUCAAAUUUAGCUGUAGCUUUUUUACCAUUGUGAGAAAAAGGUUUGACAGUUUGCUUACCUUCUAGACAUGUAACACAUACUUCAUGAUUAUCAUUACCAAAUUUUAUUUCACUAACCAAUCCAUUUUGUAAUUGUCUCAUACCAUUACGAGACAGAUGGCCAAGACGUUCAUGCCACAAUUCAUGCUCAGAUAAGGGAUAAUUAUUGUUAGCAGACAUUGCCCUCACUGAAUCUCCUAUGUCUGGGUGGCCUAUCAAUGACAUACAAAUCUUCAAUUUUUGAACCAGUUACUAUGAUACUACCACUGAUAUUGAAGUCAGAUCUAUCAUAAAUUGUACAUUCCUCAUUAUCAAAUACAACAUUCAGAUUUUUACUAGUAAUUUUACUUACCGACAGAAGGUUGUUGGAUAGGUUGGGCACAUACAACACAUCUUUUACCAACAUAGAUUGUGUGCACUUAUUUACCAUUACAUCAAGUGUCAAAUCACCAACACCUUCUGAUGGAAUUUUUCAUGUUGUUAGAGAGACUACAGAAAUGACAGUCUUGCAUUGAUUACCUAGGUUCAUGAAGUUUUCCUUUUCCAUUGUCAUGUGGUUUGUUGCUCCGCUGUCAAUAAUCCAUUCAGUAGUGGACAUCUUCUUAGUCAGUUGAGCACUAGCUAAUAAUGUUCCCGGUUUCACCUUUCCAGUAGACUGUUUCUCAGUAGUGGAAAUGUUGCAUUGCUCCCGACUUUUGUUGAUCUUAGGACAAUCAGGCCGCUUAUGUGAAGGGUCCCCACAAUUGUAACAAUAAAUCUUCCUUUUAUUGAAGUUUUGUGAAGUAGUCUUCUUCUUUAUAUUGGCAAAUAAAACAGAAGUAUUCGUUGAUUCACCAGCUCUAACACGGCGACGUUCACUUUCAUUCAUCAAGACUAACUUAACCUCCUCUGAUGAAAUCUUUUCUUUAGUUUGUUGAUUGAUUGAAAAUAUAAAAGCUUCGUAAUCUUCAGAAACACCGAUCAUCAUAAUAAAUGCUAUCCAUUUAUCAUUGAUUGGCUCACCAAUGUCUGCUAGUUUUUGAACAGUCUCCAAUAUAUCAGUGAGGAGGCAUUCUUCCAUCGACGAGAAGUUGUCUUGUUUAGUAUUAAACAAUUUUCGAGUUACUUUAAAAACAGUAGCCAUACUCCGACCCUCAUUUAUGCAGUUUUGAGGUUGUUCCAAGCUUCAAAUGAUGUUUUGGCAUUUUGAACAUGGAUGAAACAGUUCGGCUUGAUAGACAAAUUUUAGCUAAUGCACUUUGGUCACGUAAUUUAUCAGUUGGCGAAGUAAUAGGAAUAGUCCCAUUUGCAUAGUCAAAAAGAUGUUCAAGUGUAAGAAACAUUCGCAUUGAAAACUUCCAGCUUCCAUAAUUUUGUUGUCCUUCCAAUUUUUCAAUGUUAGGCACAACAGUAGAAAGAUUAAGGUUGGAAAUCAUUGAAGUUGCUUCUGUUGACAUAUUAGGAAUUAUUGUGGAGUCAGUAUUGGCAACCUUUUCAGUCAUGAUGAAAUAAUGUUGUAUCUUCAAACACGAUUACAUAAAAAAUCACACGUAAAUAACUGUUCACACAUAGCCUACCUUAGCAGAAGUUAUAACCACGAAUAACUUUAUCACAUCUUACUGGGCCCAUAACCUGUUGAGGUUGUGGAAGAAGAAAUUAAACGUAGAUGCAAUAAUAUGUGUUUAUUGUGGAUCAAACAUUAUUUGUAUUAUAACACAUAGGUACUCAAUUUAAUAUAAUGCCAUAUUAAUGGAAAAGACACUGUCCAGCUCAAACAUUAUUAGAAAAACCAAACAAUAAGAAUGAUAACAGCUGUUGUUACAGAGCAUAGAACAAAAAUAUACUAGAUUACCAACUUGCUGGAUUAGAAUAUUAAGUUACAUUCCAACAUUGUCAACACUCAAGCUCAAUGUAUUUGUUUUGUUCAGCAAUUUGAUGCACCUCAGUCCAUGAUUUUCCAUAGAAAAGAGCGGCAGUGUUAUCUGCAAACGAUAUAGUUUUUGAAUUUUUAAUGGCGAUAUAAC